rnacentral:rRNA from 1 species
UAAAGUUGUUGCAGUUAAAAAGCUCGUAGUUGAAUUUCGGGAUCAAUAUAUUGGUCGUGCCUCCGGUAUGCACUGGUAUUAUUGAUUUCUACCUUCUGACGAACUGUGAUGUCAUUAAUUUGGUGUCAUGGGGAAUCAGGACUGUUACUUUGAAAAAAUUAGAGUGCUUAAAGCAGGCACACGCUUGAAUACAUUAGCAUGGAAUAAUGAAAUAGGACGUUUGACCCUAUUUUGUUGGUUUCUAGGAUCGACGUAAUGAUUAAUAGGG